ensembl:lncRNA
UCACAACUGUUGCCAUGAGCAGAGAGGAAGAGGCAAAUAGGAGCGCAGGGGACUGCCCCUGUCCCAGCACCUCUCCGACCCCAUGGAAGAACCUGGGGCAGCACACGGGCCAGGACAUCUGGGAAAUCGGUCACCACUGUCCCAAGUCAGAACCACCUGGAGGGCGGACUCGGACUGAGGGGAGCCUUGAGUCGGCAUUCAGGGUCCCAGCCGGCGUGCGGAUCCCCAGCCACAACCCUUAGGUCAGCCAAGUCCUGCUGCCCGCUGCCUCCUGCUUCUCCGCCUGCCCCUGUCCUCGGGGCCUCUGCUGGGCUCCAGCACCCGCUCCUAUCCCGGGAGACCCCUUGCCGGCCACAGGGAGCACCGAGUCCUCUCCGCCGCCUCCCCUGGGCUUCCGGAGCCUUCCAUCACCCUCUAUUUAUAGCUCCAGUCAGGUGCCCGGACGCUGCCGGGAGGGACAGGAGAGCAGGUUCUGUGACCGUGGGGAAGGACUGGGAUUUUCCAGGACGGCGCCCUGGCUGUAUCACCCCACGUCUCCGUGUGCCCCUCGGCCGCCUGUCCCUGCUUGUGGGGACCCGAGCUGGGGGGCCUGGGUUAGUGGGCUCUGAGUGGGCGGGGGCCGGGCUGGGCCCCGGGAGCAGUGUGCUGUGACUCUGGAGCCUGCAGCCUCCAGAGAGCCGAGCCCAGAGCAGCGGCCGCGUCCCCAACCCAAGGUCACUGUGCCUCCCCGGGCCCACCGCACCCACUACGCUAUACCCCACUUUCAGACCUGGGUGCCUGCUCUCCACCGCCCUCUUCCCUCCUGUGGCACCCUGGACCCUCCAACCACAGGGAGGCCGGAGCAGGGCUUAACCCCGGACCAGCGCCUUCCUGCUGCUGUGGGCUAUGAACCCCAGACGGCCGGGCUGUGACCUCAGCACGGUCCUGAGCCUCUCUGAGCUGCUGACCUCGGCCACCGACUCCAGUCUGAGGCUCUGAGAGACCCGAGGGGCACAGCUAGGCCCCCGGCCCCCGGCUCGAGGGCCCCUGAUGCUGGUGGACAAGGCCAGGCUGCAGGGUGGGGUCGCCAGCAGCCAUGGGUACUUCCUCCGUGGGUCUCAGCUUCCCCAGCCACGAGAAUGACAGCAGCCCCCUCAGCCACCAGGAGGCUGUGUGAGCCCAGGAGGCCCGGCACACUGGGGUGUUGGGGGACCUGGGCCAGGCCUCCACUCCCAGACUCCCAGGGCGCUGGGCACGGGAGGCUGGGUGGUCAUGGGGUGGGGCCUCCCCAGCCCUCUGCCCGGGUCCCCAGCUGCAGCCCUGGAGUUGCCGCUCAGGACCUAGGAGGUGCAGGGCCUGGAGGUGGCCGAGGCUGUGACCCUCACAGGCCAGCCCACGCCAGCAGAUAAACACAGGGCCAGAUGGGCAGCAUGGCCAGAGGGGACAAGAUGGACAGGCGGGAGGAAGGGGCGGCGCCUGGGAGCAGCCCUGGGGACACUCGCCCCGGCUCUCCAUCUGAACUGCCCAGGAGCAGCUGCCCCACCCCUGCUGCCUUUCUGCGCGGCCCCUCUGGCUCCCACUGCCCUCGACAGCUGCUUCCCGGGGCUUGGAAUCUGGCUUUCCAUGUCCCACACAGUCCUGAAGCUGCUAGCAUGGGGGCUGGGGUUCGAGGACCGCCGUCCAUGUACUCAGACCGAGGUGCCCACUCCCCAACUCUCUGUCCCGGUGACCCCAAGCCUCGAGCAGGGUCCCUCCAUCAAGUCAGGCCAGGUGCCUCCCGAGGCUGAACCUGGCCUGCAGUUGGCAGUUCCAGCCCACAGCUGCGGUCCCGGUGUCCCGGCUGCAGGAGUGAGCCCUUCACUCACCUGUCACCUUCACCUCCUGGCUCCAGGAGGUCUCAGGGACACGCUACCUGCUGAGCACCUAGGGAGCCAGGCCCAGCAGACCCCAGCCCCUUCGGGGAGGCGGGCUGUGGGAUGCGCUCGUCUGGGGGCCUCUGUUCUCAUACGCUCAGUUGUUAAACUGCCAAGGCCACGGGGGAGGAGCCCAGGCCCUGACUACUUUGCUGUGGCUGCGUCUUUACCUCUCUCGGGCAUGGGGCCUGCGGCCCAGGACUGGCACAGGCUGCAUCCCCGGCAGGACCCGAGGUGGUGAACGGGACCUCUGAACCUCCACGGAGCCCGACCUGUGCAUUGAGGGGAAGUGGAGAGCACGUGCGGGCCUGGGAGGUGGCCUGGCCGUGUGGCUGGAGCUGCCGCCCACCCAGGCGCCCUUGGGUGCAGCUGGGUGCAGAGGGCAGGAGGGCAGCAGGAGGACUGAGGUCGCUGGCACCAGCCGCAGUGAGCGGCUCAGCCAGGGACGCAGUGUGCAGGGCACCAAACCUGGACCCUCCGGGGACAGAGCAGUGCCCUGUGAGCUCGCGCCGCGUAUGGGAGGGCUGUCAGCGAGCAAGGCCGAACACAAUGCAGCUGAGCACCUGGCCGUCCUUGGAGACGUGGGAAUUUGUAGUUGGGGGCUACAGGUGAGAAUCCAGGAGCCUGGCUCUGAGCACAGCAACCAGGCAACAGCAGGGAGCGGCUGCAACCCAGGAGGCCGGCCUCACUAGGGCCGGACACCAGUCCCUGUCCUUGGGCCGGCGGGCGGGCGCCAUCUGCCUGUCCGCCUCCCCGGCCUGCACUUUGUCCCCGCAGAACCCCGUGUCCCCGGGCUGUCCUCACGCCCACGUCACCUGCGCGGCCCAGAAUCCCUUGGAACCAGCCUGCCACCCGCAAAGGAUGCUGGCAUGCAGGGGCGGCAGGAUGGAGGCCUAGGAGCGCCAUCUGCCCAGCCGCCGAGACAGGAGGGUCGCGACGCAGCGGGAGGAGGAGCACGGGCAGGACCGGUAUUCCCCUGGAAGUGAGACCACAUCUGAAACUUCAUCACCACCAGUUGGCAGAGUCCUGCUCUUCAGCUUAGACUGACCUGGAAGUCCCUAUGUAGCCCAGGUUGGCCUCAAACUGGAGAUCCUCUUGCCUCAGCCUCCUGAGUACAGGGAUCACAGCAGCCACAGAGCUGAGCAGAGCCAAGUCCUUGGAGCCGCGCAGGGCAGUGACAGCAUCCCACAGAGGGGCACAGGGAGGCCGAGGACACGGCAGCAGGCCCACCGAGGGACGCCACCCCGUCCCCAGGAUACGGCCGGCCACAUUCGGACGGUGCUGGCAGUGCCAGGCCCGCCGGCUCCCUGUGCCAGCCGCUGCACCACACAGCCUCCCUGGGGGGCCCACCCACCACAGCCCCCACGGGGCAUGGGGCGCCUGGAAAAUGGAUCUCAGGGACAGAGAGCAGGUUCUGCACCUUCGGGUUACGGGCAGUUCUUACCUUUUGCUUUGUGGCUGUUUCCCUGGUAUUUGACAAGAAGUGUUCUUUUCGAGAAAAAAUG